AACGGCCAUAUCACAUUGAAACACCGUUUCCCAUAUUGUCACCGAAGUUAAGCAACGUCAAGCCUGGUCACUACAUCGAUGGAUGAACGCUUGGGAAUAUCAGCUGCUGUAA